GUAUAAGUAAGCGGAGGAAAAGAAGCUAGCUAGGAUUCCCUUAGUAAUGGCGAAUGAACAGGGAAGAGCUCAAUGCCCAAUCGCAGUUUCACAAUUGCGACAUGUGGUUUCGGUGGGUAACCAGUGCUGGUCUCGGUGAAAGUCUCCUGGAAUGGAGCGCCAUGGAGGGUGACAGCCCCGUUCAUCACUGAAGACUUGGUACGUACGGUUCUUGCCUAAUGAGUCGCGUUCUCUGGGAUGAGAGCGCUAAAGGGUGGUAAGUUCCAUCCAAGGCUAAAUAUGUCCACGAGACCGAUAGCGCACAAGUA
rnacentral:rRNA from 1 species